AUUGAACGCUGGCGGCAGGCCUAACACAUGCAAGUCGAGCGGAUGAAGGGAGCUUGCUCCUGGAUUCAGCGGCGGACGGGUGAGUAAUGCCUAGGAAUCUGCCUGGUAGUGGGGGAUAACGUCCGGAAACGGGCGCUAAUACCGCAUACGUCCUGAGGGAGAAGGUGGGGGAUCUUCGGACCUCACGCUAUCAGAUGAGCCUAGGUCGGAUUAGCUAGUUGGUGGGGUAAAGGCCUACCAAGGCGACGAUCCGUAACUGGUCUGAGAGGAUGAUCAGUCACACUGGAACUGAGACACGGUCCAGACUCCUACGGGAGGCAGCAGUGGGGAAUGUUGGACAAUGGGCGAAAGCCUGAUCCAGCCAUGCCGCGUGUGUGAAGAAGGUCUUCGGAUUGUAAAGCACUUUAAGUUGGGAGGAAGGGCAGUAAGUUAAUACCUUGCUGUUUUGACGUUACCAACAGAAUAAGCACCGGCUAACUUCGUG
rnacentral:rRNA from 1 species